UUCAAAUGCCUUAUUUGGAAAAUAAAAAAAGUGUUGCUCGUCUUCAUUAGAAAUAUGGUUCUAACUAAAAUAUGUGAAAAUUAUGAAAGAAAGGAAAUCACAUUAAUAAUUUGAUAGAAGAAAUCACUAUGGGAUCCAUAGUUAGGAUUGCUGGAAAAGUACAGAUGAAUAUUUAUCAUUCCAUCAAUGAGGAGCCUUUUUUACUGUACAUGGUAUGAAGCAUGUAAUUCAAAGAGAUUGAAUGAAAGAGGAUGUAUGACUGAUGUUCCAAACAUAAUUAAUCUUCUAGUAGUGCAAAAUCAUUCGGCUUACUCUAUCUGACAGAAUUAAAAUAUUUUGUUAUGGCAGCAGAUGCUAGGUCAAUUAUCACUGUUAAAAGGAAAGAGGACUGUACCAUCACAGGUGAAGCAAGUAGGUUGAUGCCGAAAAAAGCAUGGCUGUAAUACAAUCCAAACUGAUGUAUUAUACAUUUGUUACUGCAUAAGAUACUGCUAAUUAUACUACAUGUGGAGAGGCUUCAGUUUGAUA